rnacentral:rRNA from 1 species
AACUGAGGAUAAUACUGGAUAGGCAAUUAUUCCUGCAAUGGUUUUUUGUUUAAAUGUUUUUUCGCCUAAGGAUGGGUCUGCGGCCGAUUAGGUAGUUGGUUAGGUAAUGGCUUACCAAGCCGUUGAUCGGUACGGGUUGUGAGAGCAAGAGCCCGGAGAUGGAACCUGAGACAAGGUUCCAGGCCCUACGGGGUGCAGCAGGCGCGAAACCUCCGCAAUGUGAGAAAUCGCGGCGGGGGGAUCCCAAGUGCCAUUCUUAACGGGAUGGCUUUUCAUUAGUGUAAAGAGCUUUUGGAAUAAGGGCUGGGCAAGACCGGUGCCAGCCGCCGCGGUAACACCGGCAGCUCUAGUGGUAGCAGUUUUUAUUGGGCCUAAAGCGUCCGUAGCCGGUUUAAUAAGUCUCUGGUGAAAUCCUGUAGCUUAACUGUGGGAAUAGCUGGAGAUACUAUUAGACUUGAGACCGGGAGAGGUUAGAGGUACCCCCAGCGUAGAGGUGAAAUUCUGUAAUCCUG